rnacentral:lncRNA from 1 species
CACCCGAACGGCCACCAAUCCGCGAUCCGUCUAUUCUGGAGUUUAUUCCACGACACCACGAUGCUCCCGAUCCGCUUUCAUGAUUUUUGGAGGCUUAUCUCGCGUGCUGCGGCUAUCUGUACCAAAACAGACUGUUUCGUCAAUAACUUCGCGUACACUCGUCGUAUCGUCGAACCGAGCGCACCAACGCGUUCGUUAUACCCCCAAUUAGGUUUACAGAGGGUUAAUUGAGAUCAAACCCAUCUAUUUACAAAAAUCCCAUUUUUGAGCCCUAGUUUGCGACUACGGCAAAAUAUCCCAAAUCGAUCUCCGAUUCAUGCAUUAAUCUACUCAUAA